CUUUCCCCAUUUUGCGCAGAUUUUCCUCUUUUUCUCUUGAAUUUUCUACUAUAAUGCUCCGUCGUAUAGUUCCUAGUAGAACCACCGUCAACCACCGUCGCGUAUAUCUAUCUAACUGUAAUCGCCACCGCUUCUUCUCUGCUAAUCCUUCAGAUUGCAAUUCAAAAGAUUCAACCGGUUACGCCCAUGACCUCAACGGUUCACAAGAUUCCCUUCCGCCACCACAACUUCCGGUUCUCCAUCGCCUCCGCCCUAGUUCUCUGUCUCCUCUUUCUCGCACUUCUCCUUUUGCCUUAUCAGCAACAGUGAUAUCCGCUGCGGCUGUUCUUGCUGCCUCUUAUGUCAUUUUAUUUGAUGACAGCCAAAUUAAGGAAGAACAGCCGAAUAACAAGCGCUUGUUUGAUGAUUUUGAGCACGCGGUUGAACGGUCGAAGGAGUCGUUGAAGAGAGUUGUGAAUACGAUGAAGCAUACCGGUGUUGCGGCAUCGGUUCUUUGGAAGUCUCUUCGUUCUGUUUUGUCUUCGGCGAACCAUGAAGUUUGGUCAGGGUUUGAGGUUAGGGUUGCGGCGUUGUUGGCGGAUAUUGCGGCGGCGAAUGAGAGCCGGAGGGCUGCGAUUGUAGGCGCUGGUGGUGGUGUGGUGUUGGAUUGGUUAUUGGAGUCUGUGGCGCUCACCGGAGGAGGAAACUAUGGGACUCAGGCGGAGUCGGCUAGGGCACUGGCAUACUUGAUUGCUGAUCCUAAUGUGUGUGAGGCUGUUCUUGGUAGGUCUCAUGCUAUCCCCAAUCUUCUGAGGUUCAUAUUCUUUGCUCAACCACAUCAAUCGGAAAAGCAACCACGGCGCAGUUCGUUCGAUAUUUCUGAUCCUUCGAGAGGCAGGAGCAUGCUUGUUGCAGCAAUCAUGGAUAUUGUCACUUCCAACUGUGACAACGUGGACAAGAUCAGGCUUAAGCCCAAGCUAUCAGGGGCUGCUGCAAUGAGAGAUAUUGCAGCUGCACUUCAGGUUGUUGAAGAAGGUGGCAUGCUGAUGGAUGAGCCACCAGGUAGUCAGGAUGAUGACGAUGGUGGAACUGGAUUGAAGGGAAUUGGAAUGAAAGUUCUUGGAGGUACUACGGUUGUGGGCCUUUCCCGAACUAAUGGGUCAAUUGAGUUGGAGGAAUCUAAUGCCACUCACUCCGCAUCUUUUAAAUCUACUGCAAAAGCUCUCACCCUUAACAAAUUAAAUGAUAGCUCUCCUGCACAUACAAGUUUGUCAUCAGCUGUUAUCCCUGGAUUAUGGGAUGAUUUGCAUUCUCAACAUGUUGCUGUUCCAUUUGCUGCAUGGGCUUUGGCAAAUUGGGCAAUGGCCUCAGAUGUGAAUAGAUCCCAUAUCCAAGAACUUGACCAAGAUGGGCAUGCUGUCAUGUCUGCUUUGGUUGCUCCUGAGAGAUCUGUGAAAUGGCAUGGGAGUUUAGUUGCUCGGUUAUUGUUAGAAGACCGAAAUCUUCCCAUGAAUGAUUUUGUUUCCGAUUGGAGUUCUAGCCUUCUUACAACUGUGUCUCAAGCGAGCAAAACUGAUGAUGUCUCUUUGACUAGGGUGGCUUUGUCUGCAUUUUUAGUAUCUAUUGAGAGGUCCCCUGGGGCUCGAAAGGCAGUUAUGGAAAAAGGUCUUCAUCUAAUGAGGGAAACUGCUAAACGAACAAUGGAUCACAAGUUCGUACAAGAAGCAUUAGCAAAAGGUCUAGAAUCACUUUGUUCAGGGGACAUGCAUUUGUCUCUUCAGGAAGGACAGAAGUGGUCUUGCAUCUUGAUGCAGUGGGUAUUCAGAGAGACUUCAACUGAUGCUAUUAGAUCUUCUGCCAUAACAAUCCUUUCUCGCAUUUGUGAAGACUAUGGACCAUCUUCUGUACCAAUUUCUCAAGGUUGGUUAGCUAUUAUGCUUUCUGACAUUCUGAAAUCCAGGAAGUUAUCUCUUAAAGGGAGUGCUCAGCCUAGGGACAAAGUGAAGACUCAAAUCGAUCAGGCAAAUGUGGUUUCUGGCACACAGAGUGUCAACCAAUUGGCUAGUGCUGUGGUUAAUUUGGCUGCCAAUCAGCUGGGAACAGAAUCUGUUAAUGGUGAUUUGUAUUCUUUAGCAGAUUUUCUCAGCCUUGAACCCCUUGUUGGAGCAUACAAAAAUCUGAAGAAAGACAGCUUGCCUAAAGUGAAUGCUGCAGAUUCUGCACUGGCAACUCUGAAGGGGAUCAAAGCCAUGACAGAGAUUUGCAGCGAUGACUUGUUUUGUCAAGACGAAAUAGUUGAUUAUGGUGUAAUUCCUUUGUUGCGUCGCUUUCUAUUAAGAGAUGAUUACGAGAAAUUAUCAGCAACUGAAGCAUAUGAUGCAUCCAGAGACAUGGAAGCCAGGGAUCAUGGCGAGUCCUCCGUUUCUGAUGCACGUGAUCCAUCUAGCGUCCGUGUGCCACCCACAGCUCAUGUCCGCAGACAUGCAGCUCGGUUGUUAACAGUGCUCUCAGUCCAUCCAAAAGCCAAGAAGUUGAUACUAGAUGAUAACGCUUGGUGUAAUUGGCUUGAGGAAUGUGCAAAUGGAAAGAUCGCUGGAUGCAAUGACCUCAAAACUCAGAGUUAUGCUAGAGCAACAUUGUUAAAUAUCUUCUGCAAUGAUGAUGAUUCUGGAGAUGUUGUUAAUAAUGGUCGUCCUGGUGGCACGGAUAAAAAUCAUAGUUGUGCUCGUUAUCCGGAGAUGUUCUUUUUAAUCAACCCUGAACUAUCUCACUGGGAAUGUCCUAGAAAAGGAAGGCAGGAGUCUGCAGUAGAUACAUCAACAGAAAAUGAAAAUCAAAUUGAUCCCUUUAUAAGAGUGGACAAGGAGGCUAUUGAUGUUGAGAAUGGCCCCUUUACUAAAGUUCCCCGUGAUGCCAGCAUCCCUAAUUCUAAUACUAGAUCAGAGAGUCACACAGGAGAUCCUUCAUUCGACGUCAUCUUUGUUCAUGGGCUGCGUGGUGGACCAUUUAAGACUUGGCGGUUAUCUGAGUGCAAAUCAUCAUCUAAAUCUGGCCUCGUGGAAAAGAUUGAUGAAGAGGCAGGAAAACAAGGAACUUUUUGGCCUGGAGAGUGGCUUUCAGCAGACUUCCCUCAUGCUCGUUUGUUUACUCUUAAGUACAAGACAAAUCUUACACAGUGGUCUGGAUCAAGCUUACCUCUCCAGGAAGUUAGUUCCAUGCUGCUGGAAAAGCUAAUUGCAGCACGCAUUGGAGAUCGACCAGUUAUAUUCGUAACUCAUAGUUAUGUAUUGCAGCAUGGGGGGCUUAGUUGUGAAGCAAAUGCUGCAUCAGGCAAGUGCAGAAAACAGAGGCAAUCUUGUCAGAAACACUGUUGGUGUGGUGUUCUACAGUUGCCCACAUUUUGGUAGCAAACUUGCGGACAUGCCGUGGCGAAUGGGUUAUGUGUUUCGGCCAGCACCAUCGAUAGGCGAGUUGAGAAGUGGGUCUACAAGAUUAGUGGAGCUUAACGAUUUUCUUCAUGAUCUACAUAAAAAAGGGUCGCUCGAUGUUCUCAGUUUCUGUGAGACUAAAGUAACUCCAAUAGUUGAAGGCUAUGGGGGAUGGGCUUUUCGGCUGGAAAUAGUUCCAAUUGAAUCGGCAUAUCCUGGAUACGGGGAACUUGUUGUACUGGAGUCGACUGAUCAUGUAAAUUCAUGCAAACCUAUUAGCCGAACCGAUCCUUCUUACAGUGAAACGUUGCGUUUUUUGCUCAAACUUAGAGAUGCACAUCGAUGAAGAGCGCACCCUCUGUAGAUAACCAUAACACCAAGUACGGAGCGAAAGCUAAACACGAUUGGUUGACGAAAUGGCAUGUUGCACAGGUAGAGCGGCUAGAUUGUUCAAACGAGAAUACAGAAUUUACCAUUUUAGUCCCAUUUUGCCCUCUUGGUAAUUUUUUGACAGGUUCUUAUGCUGCUGCUAGAAUGCUAUUAUGAAACUGAUGGCUGUUGUAUGUAACAAAUGAGAAGAAUAAAAACAGGAACCAAAAUCUUGGAUUUCUUAUGUCAUUGGGGUUGUAAAUAUUACCAUAUUUAUUUUAUUUUAUUUUUAUUC